rnacentral:rRNA from 1 species
GAUGAACGCUGGCGUCGUGCCUAAUACAUGCAAGUCGAGCGAACGGACCGGAAUUUUGUUUCUCUGAUGUUAGCGGCGGACGGGUGAGUAACACGUGGAUCACCUACCUAUACGAUUGGGAUAACUUCGGGAAACCGGAGCUAAUCCCGGAUAAUAUUUUGAACCGCAUGGUUCAAAUGUGCAACACGGUCUUGCUGUCACAUAUAGAUGGAUCCGCGCUGCAUUAGCUAGUUGGUAAGGUCACGGCUUACCAAGGCAACGAUGCAUAGCCGACCUGAGAGGCUGAUCGGCCACAGUGGAACUGAGACUCGGUCCAUACUCCGACGGGAGGCAGCAGUAGGGGAUGUUCCGCAGUGGGCGAAAGCCUGACGGACCAACGCCGCGUGAGUGAUGAAGGUCUGCGGAUCGUAAAACUCUGUUAUUAGGGAAGAACAUAUGUGUAAGUAACUGUGCACAUCUUGACGGUACCUAAUCAGAAAGCCACGACUAACUACGUG